GACGUAGGGCGCGAGCGUUGUCCGGAUUUAUUGGGCGUAAAGAGCUCGUAGGCGGCUUGUCGCGUCGUUCGUGAAAACCCGGGGCUCAACUCCGGGCUUGCGGGCGAUACGGGCAGGCUAGAGUUCGGUAGGGGAGACUGGAAUCCUGGUGUAGCGGUGAAAUGCGCAGAUAUCAGGAGGAACACCGGUGGCGAAGGCGGGUCUCUGGGCCGAUGACUGACGCUGAGGAGCGAAAGCGUGGGGAGCGAACAGG
rnacentral:rRNA from 1 species